GUGGGGAAUAUUGGACAAUGGGCGAAAGCCUGAUCCAGCCAUGCCGCGUGAGUGAUGAAGGCCUUAGGGUUGUAAAGCUCUUUCGCCGGGGAAGAUAAUGACGGUACCCGGAGAAGAAGCCUCGGCUAACUCCGUGCCAGCAGCCGCGGUAAGACGGAGGAGGCUAGCGUUGUUCGGAAUUACUGGGCGUAAAGCGCACGCAGGUGGCAGGACAAGUCGGGUGUGAAAGCCCGGGGCUCAACCCCGGAUGUGCGCUCGGGACUGUCUUGCUAGAGACCGGAAGAGGAGAGCGGAAUUCCCAGUGUAGAGGUGAAAUUCGUAGAUAUUGGGAAGAACACCAGUGGCGAAGGCGGCUCUCUGGUCCGGUUCUGACACUCAAGUGCGAAAGCGUGGGGAGCAAACAGGAUUAGAUACCCGUGUAGUCC
rnacentral:rRNA from 1 species